rnacentral:rRNA from 1 species
UACGUAGGGACCGAGCGUUGUCCGGAAUCAUUGGGCGUAAAGAGCGUGUAGGCGGCUAUUUAAGUCCUGCGUGAAAUCCUGCGGCUCAACCGCAGACGGUCGUGGGAAACUGGAUGGCUAGAGUGCGGGAGAGGCGAGUGGAAUUCCCGGUGUAGCGGUGAAAUGCGCAGAUAUCGGGGAGGAACACCAAUUGCCGAAGGCAGCUCGCUGGGACGUUACUGACGCUGAGACGCGAAAGCGUGGGGAGCAAACAGGG